rnacentral:lncRNA from 1 species
AGAAAACAUGUCAGACAGAAGACAGAGCUUGCUUUGAUGGUUUGGGUCCCAAAGACAUGAUGAUGUUGGACUGAAGCACAGCCUACCAACGAAAGACAUGCAGAACAUGCACUAUUAUCUGGUGGAGAACAAACUAACCUGGGAUUAAAGAAGCUGAAAUCCAUUCUCAAUUUCUUCUCUCUUUUUG